CAUUGCCGGGAGCUGGGACCUCCUCUAUGGUCACAAAGUCGCGAGGUUUCCUGGGCCAAGAGGCAACCCGAGGCGGCAUCCAGCACCAUGAAUCCACUGAUACCAGUUCCUGCCAGUCAGGCCUGAAACCUUGGCCCCUGGAAGCAGCCAGCAAGCCCUUCGGGGUCUUCGUCUUUGCACGGCUGAGCCAUCCCACAUCUGGAGCAGAGUCAUUCAGGUGACAAGUGACGGUGGUCUCCACCAAGACCUGAAAAAUGGCAUCUGGACAAGGACCAGGUCCCCCGAAGGUGGGCUGCGAUGAGUCCCCGUCCCCUUCUGAACAGCAGGUUGCCCAGGACACAGAGGAGGUCUUUCGAAGCUACGUUUUUUACCUCCACCAGCAGGAACAGGAGACCCAGGGGGCGGCCGCCCCUGCCAACCCCGAGAUGGACAACUUGCCCCUGGAACCCAACAGCAUCUUGGGUCAGGUGGGUCGGCAGCUUGCUCUCAUCGGAGAUGAUAUUAACCGGCGCUACGACACAGAGUUCCAGAAUUUACUAGAACAGCUUCAGCCCACAGCCGGGAAUGCCUACGAACUCUUCACCAAGAUCGCCUCCAGGCCAGCAGCAACAUGCACAGCCUAUUUAAGAGUGGCAUCAGCUGGGGCCGCGUGGUGGCUCUCCUGGGCUUUGGCUACCGUCUGGCCCUGUACGUCUACCAGCGUGGUUUGACCGGCUUCCUGGGCCAGGUGACCUGCUUUUUGGCUGAUAUCAUACUGCAUCAUUACAUCGCCAGAUGGAUCGCACAGAGAGGCGGUUGGGUGGCAGCCCUGAAUUUUCGUAGAGACCCCAUCCUGACCGUAAUGGUGAUUUUUGGUGUGGUUCUGUUGGGCCAAUUCGUGGUACACAGAUUCUUCAGAUCAUGACUCCCGGGGAGCCCCACUGGGGCCCCAGCCACGUGCCUGGCUGGACUAAACCUCUCUCCCUACCCCACCCCCUACCCCCCACCCCAACAGUCCUCUCCUUCCUCCCCAGGGCAAAGACGCUUUAGCAAACAGGCACCCCUGAUUUGGAGAGCCACCGCCCAGGGGUCAUCAAUACCCCAACAUUGCAUGGUGCUACUGAACCCCAUCCUGUCUCAGAGGCACUGACUGACGCACUGGGGGGGGUGGGUGGGGGAUGGAGAGGCUGGGCCACUAAUUCCCAGAAAACUAGGUUUGUUUUUAUACUACCCUUUAGAUACAAUCCACCCUUUUUCUCCACUGUGCCCAAAGUCAGAACAUGGAGGGCUUGGGGACUGGUGGUUCGAACCUGUGUUCCCAACACUCCUGCUACUUUGGAAGGUCAGCCCUUGAGAAGAGACCUGAGCACAAUCCUUGCCCUCCCUACAUUGGCUCCCAAGACCAACUGUAGGAGACUGCAUGACCUACUUCACCCCCACCUCAUCGUCCAUUUCCCCAACCCUACCCCCCACACCCCCUCCCCUCCUAUCUCCUACCCCAAUCCAUCCAUUUUUGCCUUGGCGGCUGGACUCUCAGGGAUUCUGAGCCCAGAGUGAGGGCAGAGGUGAGAGUUCAGACCACAGCUGUCUGAACACAUCCAUCAGGCUCUCCAAUCCUGUGUCCUUCCUGACCCGUGCUCCCAACCUAGUGGGUAGGGGAAGACGCCACUUUCUCCCCAGGGCUCUCAGGUGAGCCUGCCUGCUGGGGCGGAGGCCUUCCUGACAGACGGACGGACAGAGCCUCAGACUCAGCCACUAUGACAGGGGAGGGGGUGGGCACUCUUUGGAGGUGUCCACACUAGAGAACUACUCCAGCAGAAGCAACUGUGGACCUGGGUGCAGUUCCUCCCCGGAACCUAUGAUUACUUGAACCCCACCUUCACUCCUUGUCUGCCUAGGUCCUCCUCGGGUUGGGUGGGGUGGGUGUUUUUCUCUGUCUUGCACAACAUAGGGGUGAGAAGUUUUGAUUAAGCCAAAUGUAUCGGGGAAGAGGGGGAGGCAGAGGGUGCUCUGUGUCUGGAAAUAAACUGUGCAAUGCCCCCAA